rnacentral:rRNA from 1 species
AUGGAUUACCUGAACAGGAGAUCCAUGGCGAUUGAGAUGAAGGAGACCGAUAAUUUUUCAGUGACGAGCGAACUCUGCGGAGGGAUCAGGAUUGGCUUUCCUUUGGAGAGCUCGCCUGUCGCCACCGAUGCUAGAUGGAGAGAGAUCUGGAACUCAUCUGCGGACGACCCCACAAUGAAGCAGAUCCCCCCAAAAUUUAGAAAGAUGUUCAGGAGUGCGUCAUCUGGUGAGGACAACAGGGACGGUCGGUCUUUGAGUGACAUCGGCAAGGAUUAUGGGAGGCAGGAGCAUGGUGUGCAAGAGACACUUGCCAAGAGGAGCAUUCUAAGCAGCAGAGACUCCUCUAAGCAGAUUGUCCAGGUGUAUGAGGAAGGAAGCAAGUAUCGUGGUAGUCCACAAAUUGAUGAAAACAUAAGGCAAGGUCCUUUGAAAGGAUCACCUGUGGCAUUCAACAUGAGGGGUCCUUCCAAAGGAUCUUCGAUGACAUUCAAAAUCGUCAGCGAAAUCACCAAUGCACGGAGGUUGUCGCCAAGAUUUGCUGGACAAGAGAGGCAUGGGAAAACAAAGCAAUUAGCGUACAGUGCCAACACGGAUUGUAUGGUAGAAGCAGCACAGUCCCUUGGUUGCUCGAGUGCCAGAGAAACAAGGACCAGCAUUGCACAAUCCAACAUUGGAGAGGCAGACUCAUUUAUGGAUUUGGUUGUGGCAUGCAGAAACGAUUCUGCUGCGCGUGACAAACAACAGAGCAGUAGCAGCUCCGCUACGAACGAAGACACGGUGGACAGAAUCAUCAUGGCGCCGCCGACCAUUGUAGAGAAAGAAAUGGAUGACAUGUUUAAAGAUUUCAUAUACCCAACGAUUCAGGAGGUCACCGAAGCGGUCGAACCAGAAGGUGGUAUGGUAUUCGGAUCAUUGGAUGAGUGCUUUUUCUUUUUCUGUAGAUAUGCUAGAAAGGUUGGCUUUGCUGCCAAACGAUCAACGAGCAGAAGAUCGACAUAUGAUCAGCAGCUUGACAAGCAGGUUUUUCAGUGCACCAAGGAAGGGCAAAAUAAAACAACUGAGAGACAUGUUAAGGAGAGAAGGAGCAACUGCUUGAUUCGGACAAGCUGCCGAGUCCAAAUAACAGCCAAGAGGGAUACAAAUAGGAGGAAAUGGUAUCUGAAGAACGUGCGUCUAGAGCACAACCACGAGCUUCACCCAUCUGAUUGGAUGCUGAAAUUCAUGAGAUGCUAUAAGAAGAUGACACCUCAGGAGAAAUUCUUUAUACAAGUGCUGCAGAAGGCGAGGUUAGAACCAAGGAAGGUUAUGCAAAUUUUUGCUGCCAUGGGGAAAUCGAGGCGAGAAAUUAUGUUCGACACGAUUGACCUAAGCAACAUUGCAUGCCGGGAGAGGACUGGAGAGCGCGGCACUGAUAUCACAGACACCAUGAAACUGUUUGCUGAUAUGCAGAGGCAGAGGCCGGGAUUCCACCAUGUGGAAGAGACAGAGAACAAUAUAGUGCGCAGCCUGUUCUGGACAGACUCCCUGUGUAAGAUGAAUUAUGAUCUAUAUGGAGAUUUCGUGUCUUUUGACACCACAUUCUCUACGAAUAUAUAUGGCUUGCCAUUUGCACCAAUUGUAGGUGUCGACAACCACGGGUCGACCGUCCUAUUUGGGGUAGGCCUUUUGAAGGAUGAGAAAAUAGGGUCGUUCAAGUGGCUCCUAAGCACGUUUGUCGAGGCAAUGGGAGGUAAAGAGCCGAAAUACAUAAUAACAGACCAGGACCAGGCGAUGAAGACUGCAAUAAAGGAAACUCUUCUGAGGACAAGGCACAGGUUCUGCUGGUGGCAUAUUAGGAAGAAUCUGAAGGAAAAUAACGCAGUAGUGUUUGCGCAGCACCCAGGGAUGUCUGAUGAUAUAUUUUGA